GUGCAGCCAGGGCCGGAAGCCGUGUAAAAUCAAGGAGGAGAAAUGGCCAGCUUGAAAAACGGUGACGGAGGCAAGAUCCCUUCAGGUACGGAGCUGCAUUCUUGACUCCUGCUGGCAAACCUAGGCGGAGAACUCGAUGUAGGGAAAUAAAUGGUUCUUGUAUCAAACAUUUGGGUAACUGGAGCCAAAGGAUUCCAUGUGCACCUACAUCAACUUCUCAUUUCAAGGAUAUGAGGUGCUCUGAAGGGAGUUCACUGUUCACUCCUGAUACUUUGUUACUGAGCUGCAGAGGAUGACAAGACCCCAUGGGCCAGCAAACACCACUACUUCAGUAUGGCCCAGGGUUUAGCAUACAUUCUUCAGGUUGUUGUUGUGGGUUUUUUUGGUUUGUUUGGGUUUUUUUGUUUGUUUGUUUUUUGUUUGUUUUUGUUGGUUUGUUUUUGUUUGUUUGUUUUUCUGUCGUUUUUUUGGGGGGGUUGUUCUUUUUGUUUUAAAUGCAGGAGCUGUUUCAUGUAGACUAUGUAUUAAAUUUUUCAUACUGUAUCGUGAAUACUUAAGGCAACACAGUUCAACAGGCCAUCCCUGGCAGGAACAGCACAGCGAUGUUCUGACAGAGAAUGGAUGACAUCAGAAAACCACACCAAACCUUCCAUCAGUGUGGGAGCAGGACCGCUGGCCAGAGCUGCUGUAGAGAAAAGACCCCCAUCAAAAACUACCAUUUGUAGCCUAUUGUACUUGGUUUGCACUCCCUCCUAGAUAAUGAAUUGUAAACAUUAAGACCUACUUAAUCAAAAUGCAUGUCAUCAUAACAUGAGUUUUAAACAACUUUUGGAAUUUGCACAGGAAAAUCAAAAUUAGAUAAAUAUUUUUUAACAGGAACACUGGAGGAAUAAAAGUGAGUGAGACAAAAUAGAAAGAAAACCAAUCAUCAGACUUUAUCAAUCAUUUCAGUGUAAUUGAACUCAGAAAAUAUACAUUCUCUCAUUUUCACAUUAGAAUUUUGUUUAUAAGGAUAUUACUAAAAAGUAGCUGCAUUCUACUGUGUAUAACUCCAUGUUUUCACAGCACAACUUACUGCUUUGCAAUUAAGGCACUUUUUUUUUUUUAGUUUUAUUUUUAACAGUCACACUAGUGUUUUGUUCCUAUGGGUAUAGGAUUUUCACCCGUAUUUCUUGAUCCUGAAGACAAAUCAUCCGGGGCAGUGCCAAGGGGUUAGGCAUAGAUCAGUCAGGAAUUAACAGGUUAGUUAAUUUCAAGUGAUUGAGCUUUAAACAGCAUUUGGAUUAUCCCAUGCUAAAGAAUCUCAAGCUGUAAAUCACAGUGGUAAAACAAAGUGAUUCCUGAGGGUAUAUAAUUUGCAAACCUUCCCUAAUGAUUUUAAAAUCUCCCAAAUGAAUCAGUAUAUUGACACAACUCAGUCCACAGUGGGGAAUAUUUGUAGUUCAAUAGCUAUAAAUCCUAGAAUAGUUGAGUAAUCUUAAAAUAAAACCAACUCUGUAAAUGUCAUAUACAUCCACUGUAUGUUUUAAAACCAUAUUAGCUCGUUUAAUAGCUAUAACAGAGAACUGCUAUCUAUUAUUGCUAUCUCCACUGGCAGGUUCACAAGAGGAAGGGAAUCUGCAACUGUCCUACUCCGUUUAUGGACCAGGUACCAAUUUCUUGUGUAGGCACUCAGUUGCACACACUGGAUGAAGGAACUGGGAGGUUUCUGUUCCAGCUCUGAGAGGGAAUACAGGCAUCAGUUUUAUGUGAACAUAUUGUUGAUCCCCUGCCUCCUGACAGUUCACCUUUUCUGACUGAGCUUUUUUGAUUUUAACCCCAGGUCCUUGCUCUAAGCAUAAUUUUGGAGAAAAAUAAAAGGAUUCCACCAUAUAUUGGCAGCUGUUAAUUUAUACUAUCUACAACUACUAUCUUGAGUGCAAAUAGGUGCAUCAGGAAUGCUGCCAGUAUGAAAGAGUCUAGACUUUCAUGGAAAAAGUACAGAUUUAUCCUGUAGUUUCAGGUUCUCACAGUGCAGUAUUCAGCUGUGGUAGUGACAAAUGUUGAUAAAUUUAAAAGUGGCAUAUCUCAUAGUGUGAGUAAAUGUAACAUACUGCAAACGGCUGCAAGAGAGCAUUUCUCCUAAUGAAAUUACAUACAUAAUUAAUGCUAUGGACCUCAUUAUGCAUGAACAGUGGAAUAGUUCUGAAAUACUUGAGACAUCUGUCUGAACAAAUCAGUGAGAAAUCUUGGUGAUCUCUACUACAGAAACUUCCUAUGAUCCAAAAGUAAGUUUUUCCAGUUAAAAACGAUGAUCCUGUUGCUCCUUUAACUUUUAUAGAAAUUGAAUUAAUGCAGUAAUGACAUCAUCAAACUUCCCUGCAUUAUAAUUACAAAGAUCUGGUGGGGUAUAUCCUUUUUCUAAACAUUCUCACAUCAUUUUAUGCUGAUCCCUGAUCCCACUUUCAAUAUAUCUAGGAUUACCGUACUGAACAGUACAUAAAGCAAACAUUACCUGCAGUCUUGUCUGAGUCAGCUGCAAGUGCACUUUAGAAACUGCCUCUUCUUAAAUCAUGGCAUGGCACUGGAGAUCAAACAAAAUACUGAAGAUGUUAGUCCCUGAAUUUAGAUCUUCGGGUUUCACAAAAGGGCAUUUGCAGUGGAAGACCCAGCAGAAAACUCACAUACCCUGCACGGUAAGAGAAAUGUCAAAGUCUGUUUAUUCAUCCUUGUGCUCAAAUGGCCUGAUCCAAAUCUCACUGAAGUUAAUGUUGAGACUCGGGUUAUAACAGGUUUUGGAUUAGACAUUUAUUAAAAUAAGUGUAAAUAUUUCUAUUUCACUAAUGUAAAAUUUCUCUCUAAGCAAUUACACCUACCAAGUCCUCAAGAUGUUGAAAUUUAUGUUUGAAACUGAAGUUUAUGAACUGGUUUAUAUUCUGAGAAUGUAGAGACAUUUUGGCUAUCUGUGAUUUUUUUACCACCUAUUUGUUGAAAUAUCCAUGUAAAUAAAGCCAUUUACACAGA